GGACUACCCGGGUAUCUAAUCCCGUUCGCUCCCCUAGCUUUCGCGCCUCAGCGUCAGUCGCAGGCCAGGAUGCCGCCUUCGCCACUGGUGUUCCUCCGGGUCUCUACGCAUUUCACCGCUACUCCCGGAAUUCCACAUCCCUCUCUUGCACUCAAUCAGCCCAGCCGUUACCGGUGACCCUCCCCAGUUGAGCCGGGGGCUUUCACACCGGUCGUACUGGGCCGCCUGCGCGCGCUUUACGCCCAGUAAUUCCGGACAACGCUCGCCUCCUACGUAUUACCGCGGCGGCUGGCAC
rnacentral:rRNA from 1 species